UUUUAUAUAUUUGCUGUCGAUUGAAAACUAUCCAGCUCAUUACUAUAGGAGAUCCUCACCGCUACUAAUACACGUCAGCGGAGAUCUUUGGAUUCUGUUAGUUUUUGUUAUAGGCUUAAAGGUCCAAUUCCUUUGGAAAAUGGACGUUUUACUCUUUGUAAACGUUCUUUUCCUUUUUUGGACACACGGGAGCGCGGAGGAAAACAAUUGUUCGUCCCUUGGAUUCGAUAAAAACGUCGUUCCUUGCUCAUCUUGCUCUGAUAUGGUGCAAUUCUCUCUUAGAGAAGUCUCAAAACAGUGUUUCAAAUGCUGUAAAGACGAAGAAAACGCGCUGGAGGAGACAAAAUAUCCUCGAGCCAUUUUGGAAGUGUGUGGGUGACGUUUGGGAGCGUAUCCUCAAGUUCAGGCCUUUAUCAAAAGCGACCGAACUUCGAGGUAA
rnacentral:lncRNA from 1 species